GUAGGGUUCCCUUGGGACUGUCAGGAGCUGCUCUGUCCUGCUGCAUAGCCUGGUGUAAUUGCACAAGUCCUGGAGACCUGCAAUUUGGAAUGGGGGAUGUAGUUGUGUUCUAGAUGGUAUUCCUAGAUUCACACAGGAUGCUUGGACCUGUUAAGUUAUCCUGCAGUUGUUUGAAUUUUCUCCUAACUUUCUUUCAGAUGCAGACAUUUAAGAUCUGUGGCAGAGCGCCCCUCCUGGAUCAGGAGGUUUUCCCUGAGAAGGAAGUCCAGGCAGAUAGCUGCAGUCAAGGCCAAGUGUGUCAGGCAGUCCUCUUGCGAGAUGUCUCUGAUCCCAGAUGUCUGAGGCCAGGUGUCAUUGCUGCCCUAGGCGUGUGAAGGAACCGAGUCAAGCGGGUAUCCUCCUGGCAGCCUUUUGAGUCGCAUCAAGAUUUUAGGUACCGUGAGGAGGCGCAUAGCUGAAGUUUGGAAACGGCAGCACCGAAGCGGAUGUAGAGAACAUGUCGCCGUCCACGUCCGGCUGACGAUGGAUUUUGUCCGGUCGUCUUGCAAAAGCUAAGUGUCGGGGCCAGUAGGUGGGAGAAGGGGAAAAACCUUUACUAUCACAGGAGACAAUUUUAUGUUAGCUUAGAGGAGAGGCCCAUAGUGGGACGGGCCCCUUGGAAGCAGAGGGAGAGGGUUUCUCCUCAGCCUCACCAGAGUCUUCGCCGGGCAGGGCAGUUCCGAUCCAUCUUCGCGUCCUCGCGAGGUUUGCGUCGGCGGCCUUCUUCGACUCUCGAUGUCGUCGUGGAUCUUUUCACCCGAGGAGCCCGCCUUCACGUCCGGAGCUCUAGCCACGGUCACGCCAUAGUCAUCGCUUUCUUGUCUAGGCCUACUGAGCUUCUUAGGCUUCCUCUUAAGUCCUUUGGCACUAACAUCUUGAAAGGAGUUAAAUUUCAUCAUCACAUGCUAUUGCCCUAGGGCUUUCUUUCCUUUGGCAUCAUCGGCCUAUGACUCAUCUUGGACUAGCAAUCUUGGGUCCAUAAGGUGGAACUGCCAGGCAGUUUCCACUCGUGUCCGUGUUAUGUCGUCCGUGUCCGUGUUAUGUCGUCCGUGUCUGUGUUAUGUCGUCCGUGUCCAUUGAUUUCUGCGUCAUAGGCCUUUGUUACAUCUCGAGGCUUUAUCGGCAUUGUUCUCUGCCGUAUCGGCCAUAUUUUACUCGUGUACCUUCCCGGCUAUCGCUUAUUCCGGCAUCGUUACAUUUUUACUUUUUGAGAUGGGAAGAAGUACAGGAGACGUUCUCAUCCAUCUUCCUUCUCACCUUUGGUAGCGCCUUCUCUUCCCGUGCCAUUCUCUCGGACUUCUAGAGGGAGCAUAUUAGACCCUCAUCACCUGACCGCAGUAGUUCCGUAGCUUGCGCCUUCUCAAAGGGUAUAGGGCUCAACAAUUAAUCUUCCGGAGAGUUACGUCAAGUCCUCACUUAUAUUGUAUCUAUGUCGGCUUAUAUUGUUCGUGCUUAGGUUGUACCUACCUAUGUUGGCUUAUACUGUAUGUGCUUAUAUUGUAUGUACUUAUGUCGUAUGUACCUAUGUCGGUUUAUAUUGUAUGCACUUAUACUGUAUGUACCUACGUUGGCUUAUAUUGUGCAUAUAUUGUAUGUACCUACCUUGGCUUAUGUUGUACAUGCCUCUGUCGUGCCACUUACGAUCGGAGCUGCCCUGCCCAGGCACGUAGUCACGGUUAGGUAGAGCAGUUAUAAAACUUUAUAGUUCAUCUGUCUUCUAUUGGGGUUUUGGGUACAAAAUUUAUGGACCCGGAGCGGGAAUAGCUCCUAGCCGUCAGAUAGUCACUCGUCGACCGCCUCCCGUCGUCUCUGUCGUCUCGCAGGUCCCCGGGUCCCUACACGUUAUCCUGGAAUCUACCGCUGGACAUCGAAGAGCUGCGGUCAGAAGACGUGUCGAAGCGUCAACGUAGCGUUUCAAGUUUUUCAGCUCUUUUUUAAAUUUAGAAUAAAAAUUCCCCAGCCGUUCAUCGCCAAAGUUUGGAGGCGGACCGUCCCGGGACCGGGGUUUUCGUCAGGCAGGAGGAUUUUUUAGGAGGCUCCCGGGGACCACGUUCCCGAGGAACAACGAUUGCCGGGGCGUAACGGAGCGGUUGAAACGAGAGCGACGGUGAGUUUGCGUGCAAUGUGAAGGAGGUGGUCACGGUGGAUGACUGUUGUUUUCUGUGUGCUAUUUUUGUUUUGGUCUUUCCUCUAACAAUCAAACAAAAUGUAAUGUAGAUAGAAAAAAUGUUAUAUUGUGUUGAUAUGCGUUCGGUUUCUAUUGCCCCGUAUCGUUCCGUGUUUGCAUUUGCCGCCGCAUUUCCACACACAGCUCCGUACAUAAGUCGGAUUUCUACCGGUCAACAUACGGAUUGUAUCUACGCUCCCAUUCGUAUACAUCGUUUCCAUGUGUU